CGGAUUUGAGAGAUUUUGGUAAUGCAGGAUGCUCCAGCCGUGCUGUUCCCAGUGAUCGUUGCACUUCGACGACUCCACAUCGCGCAGAUACCCUUGUAGGCUCAACCUUUGGUGGUAGUGUUGUUCCUCAAACUGUAACUGAUGCCGGUCGGAAUGCUUGUUUCGCUUCGAGCACAAGCGAAAUUCGUCCUUCAAAUUCGUCAUUUGCUGAUUCAGCUGAGGUAGAUAAUGUAGUCCCCUGCAGUUCAGGUUGUGACGAGCUUGCCGGUUCCAGAGCAAGUCCCGUUCCAAUCACUGCCGCUGUUACACCCAGUCGAUCUUCAUCUUUCGAUACUGGCAAUGUUCACCAGACACAGAGUCAGCGCACAAGCAGUGUGAAUGGUCGGCGUAUAGUGGAGAGUGAUCACUUCUUCUCGUCUUUGCAAAGUUUGUCGGUACAUAGUCCGUUUGGUUGCGGCCUGGCUGACAUGGAAAUUGUAUCAGAACAUCGGCGAGGUCUGUGUAGCUCUUUCAGUUUGAAGUGCAGGAUGUGUCUGAGGAAAGAUGUAGUCACAACAGAGGCACCAGUUGAUCAACUUGUUCAACAACGCAUGGACGUCAAUUCCUCAGCAGUGAACGGUAUCGUGUCUAUAGGUUCUGGUUUCUCAGGCCUUCGCGAGCUCCUAGGUGCUCUGGACAUGGGCCUGUAGCUCUCGGCCAGGCGGCGUUGCGAUCAGCGGACGACAGCGCCGCAUGUGGAAGCAAAUCGAAACAAUGGUCCGCACAAGAGUGUUUCGGUUUCGCGGGUUUCGCUCUGGCGCAAGCAAGCAAUGUAUCGCAUCUUGCGUGGGUUUGAAAAGCUGGAGGUCAUUGACGAUUGGGCAAGUUACUAGUCAAUGUUUUCGGCGUCGACCAAGCAUCGGACGGUAACGAAAUCGUCGUUAAUGCAUUUCGGAAGAAGUGAAGGACAGCGUGGUUUAUAGCGUCCGGUUCGAGGUGUCCAAGUGCUCGUGGCAGUUUAUGUUGCGUCGUGUACCUGUAAAGCGGGAAUUGCGGGAAAAUGUAAGCACGCGGCAGCAGUCUGCUGCUACCUGAACAAGGAAGAAGACGCCACAUGUACGGGCAACAACAAAAGAGGGGCAAGCCAAGCUCAAAGCCGCAGGCGUGACAUGACAAAGGGUAUCGCCGAUUUAUUUCCGAAGCUGAUGAGGCUACAGUCAUCUCUGCUGCAUCGUUGAUCAUUUGCCAAUGAUCUUUCUCUACUGAACGCUGCUGCUGUACCCUGCUGCAUCGUUGAUCGUUGGCUAUUCUGUUAUUCUUCAGCAUUUUAUAUGUUUCAUCAACCAGUAUUGUACCGUGUACCUAGUAUGUUGCCUCAAAACAAUGCUUUAUUGCUCUUGGUAAUAAACAGCUUGCAUCUGA